AGAAAGCAUCUCUUGGAACUUGGCUGCUUCUUGAGGGGGAGCACUGUAUAGCUAGAGAGCCUUUUCACCAACUGUGUGUGCUUAACUUUUCUUUCCAUAUAUUGCUAUUGGACUAUCUGCAAAUACUUUGCCUGGUAUUGCCAAGGGCAUGUUGGAAGAAAUUUUGCUUCGUCAUGAGCAGGGCAUUUUAGAUGCAUAACAUAAAGCACAUUGAUUUCUUACAGUCAAACCGACAGGUAUACAAGCACCUAGAAUUUAGAAUGCUGAAGUGUUCUCAGUGCACUGUCUGCAGAUGAAGAAGCAGCGUGUGCAUGUAGAGUUGCUCGUACCCAAAGGACAAGAACAGUCAGCUGUGAUGUGACUGGACUGAAUGAAGAAUGAGCAAAUGUAUGAAACUUUCUCUACAUGAAAAGAAUGUGGAAUUCUGUGUUUCUUUUGGAUGAAGAGGGGAGAGAACUCAUAAAGAAAGUGUGUGAAUUUUCCUGGGUAAUUUUUGUCUGUGUUUGUUGUUUUUUUUAAUCUUCAACAAACAGAAAAUCAAAAUCACUUUUCCUCAUUUUGGUUUUCAACUUCAUUCUUUCUGCUUAUUCAACAGUGUAGCAAAGGCAGUCAGAGACAGAAAAAGAUUUAAAUACCUGAAUAUUCAAACAUUUGAGGUUUUUUUUUUUUUUCCCAACAACUUUGAAUAUUAGGUUGGAAAUGUAUUAAACUUUUUAACCCAGGGGUCCAAAAACCCUACCUUUCAGAAGUUUAAAAAAAUCUGUUUGUUUUUUUUUUUCCCCACUAGAAAUAGAUAAUCAUUCAAUACAUUUAGG
ensembl:lncRNA